UCCCUGGUAGCUCAGAUGGUAAAGCGUCUGUCUGCGACACGGGAGUCCCAGGUUCGAUCCCUGGGUUGGGAA